CCUACGGGAGGCAGCAGUGGGGAAUAUUGCACAAUGGGGGAAACCCUGAUGCAGCGACGCCGCGUGAGUGAAGAAGUAUUUCGGUAUGUAAAGCUCUAUCAGCAGGGAAGAAAAUGACGGUACCUGAUUAAGAAGCCCUGGCUAACUACGUGCCAGCAGCCGCGGGAAUACGUAGGGGGCAAGCGUGAUCCGGAUUUACUGGGUGUAAAGGGAGCGUAGACGGCAGCACAAGUCUGGAGUGAAAUGCCGGGGCUGAACCCCGGAACUGCUUGGGAAACUGUGCAGCUAGAGUGCAGGAGAGGUAAGUGGAAUUCCUAGUGUAGCGGUGAAAUGCGUAGAUAUUAGGAGGAACACCAGUGGCGAAGGCGGCUUACUGGACUGUAACUGACGUUGAGGCGCGAAAGCGUGGGGAGCAAACAGGAUUAGAUACCCGGGUAGUC
rnacentral:rRNA from 1 species